rnacentral:rRNA from 1 species
GACGAACGCUGGCGGCGGGCCUAAUACAUGCAAGUAGAACGCAGUUGCGAACGGGUGAGUAACGCGUAGGUAACGGCCUCAUAGCGGGGGAUAAGUAUUGGAGACGAUAUCUAAUACCGCAUCCUGUGAGAUGAACCGGCGUUGUAUUAGCUAGUUGCUGAGGUAAAGGCUCACCAAGGGGACGAUACAUAGCCGACCUGAGAGGUUGAUCGGCCACACUGGGCCUGAGACCCGGCCCAGACGCCUUCGGGAGGCAGCCGUAGGGAAUCUUCGGCAAUGGACGGAAGUCUGACUGCGCAACGCCGCGGGAGUGAAGAAGGUUUUCGGAUCGUAAAGCUCUGUUGUUAGAGAAGCGGUAACUACCCAGAAAGGGACGGCUAACUCCGUGCCAGCAGCCGCGGUAAUAC